CGAAUCAACAACAGACUGAACAGUUUGUGGUCUCUAGUGUACAUUUUUUUCUAUAUUUGCAAGGAUGUAAGGGUUUUUGAGCUAUAAAUAGAAUCAAGAUGGCAGAGUGUCCUACAUCUUGUUCUGAAGAUCAGGCAUCAGAUGAUGAAUCAACUGAAAAGAAAAAUCCUUUUGGGAAUUCUGAUACCUCAAACAGAGAGAACGAAACUCAGCAGCAGAGAAUAUUGAAGG